UUGUUUUUUGUUCUUUAAAUGAAUUACCUGUGUUGUUUAUAGAUACCCGAUUUUAUUGUUAAAUAUUUCUUAAGAACACAUUAUAUAUUUUAAUGUAUAAACUACAGCUCGACUAGUUUCGCAUUAAAUUCGUAAUUCUUAGCUGCAAGCGUCUGCAGCUCGCGGUCAGCGUACUGAGGCGCGCCAGGCGCGGACUCGCAUCGCAGUCGCUCAUGGUUAGGGAUCACGUAUUGAUCCCGAAACUAGUAGAGCUUUUUAGAUCUAAUUACACAUUGUUACGCUUACUCCAGUAUACAAUUAUCCGGCAAAUGACGAAUUUAAUACAAACAAGUUGAAACAGAAGGAUAUAGAAUAUGGAGAAAGAUUAUCAAGCGUUGAAAAUGGUCCAAUGAAACUGAUGUAUGCUAUAUUUCCCGCCAGACAGAAAAUUACAAGAUGUACGACAGACAGACCAAUU